UACGGAGGGUGCGAGCGUUGUCCGGAAUCAUUGGGCGUAAAGCGCACGUAGGCGGCUUGCCAAGUCGGACGUGAAAUCCCUCAGCUCAACUGAGGACGUGCAUCCGAAACUGGCGAGCUUGAGUGCUGAAGAGGAUCGCGGAAUUCCCGGUGUAGAGGUGAAAUUCGUAGAUAUCGGGAGGAACACCAGUGGCGAGGGCGGCGAUCUGGGCAGACACUGACGCUGAGGUGCGAAAGCGUGGGGAGCAAACAGG
rnacentral:rRNA from 1 species